ACAAAUCAAAGCGAAUAUUUUCUCGCUAGAAAUUCAAAGUGCCCUGGGUAGUCCCUGAGUAUUUUGCUAUUAAAUGUGCGGCUUUAUCCGUAAGGUUUGUCUGGGAGUUUUUGGGGUUUUUUGGUUGUUUUUUUUUUCCUGCUGGAGCUCGCAGCGUUUAGAAGAGCAAUGUCUUUUCCCCCGGAGCCAUUUGCUUCAGUAAUUGUCGUGGUGUGGAGCUGUCGCUGGCUGCUGUCACCAAGGGACAGUUCACAAAGGACAAACCCCUCGGUGCGGGAUUUCGAGCAGAGGGGGAUUCCUGUCCCUGGAGCGGAUCCAGGCAAUGGGGAGCGCCCAGCCGAACUUUCCCAGCGCCGGCUCUGACACCAUUCCCAGCUCCCGGCAGGACGCUGCUUCCCCCCUCCCACACAAAAUACCCCCAAUAAAAACAUUUCCAGCCA